ensembl:lncRNA
AGAGAGAGUACCUCUGUGUGUGUGUGAGAGAGAGAGUACCUCUGUGUGUGUGUGAGAGAGAGAGUACCUCUGUGUGUGUGUGAGAGAGAGAGUACCUCUGUGUGUGUGAGAGAGAGAGUACCUCUGUGUGUGUGUGAGAGAGAGUACCUCUGUGUGUGUGUGUGAGAGAGAGAGUACCUCUGUGUGUGUGUGAGAGAGAGAGUACCUCUGUGUGUGUGAGAGAGAGAGUACCUCUGUGUGUGUGUGAGAGAGAGAGUACCUCUGUGUGUGUGUGAGAGAGAGAGUACCUCUGUGUGUGUGUGAGAGAGUACCUCUGUGUGUGUGUGAGAGAGAGAGUACCUCUGUGUGUGUGUGAGAGAGAGAGUACCUCUGUGUGUGUGUGAGAGAGAGAGUACCUCUGUGUGUGUGUGAGAGAGAGAGUACCUCUGUGUGUGUGAGAGAGAGAACCUCUGUGUGUGAGAGAGAGACCUCUGUGUGUGUGUGUGAGAGAGUACCUCUGUGUGUGUGUGAGAGAGUACUCUCU